rnacentral:lncRNA from 1 species
CCAUCACUGCCAUGUCCAACAACAGUUUUUAAUCUAAAACCCUAGGUUACACACGCAAUUUCAGUAGGUAACCACGUACUGCCAUUCUGGCAUGCUGAAUUAAACUGCUUUGAAACACACCAAACUGGAAAAUUGUAACUUGUUCUUCAAAAUUUGAUGUCUGUCGUCCAGGUACCUUGCACGCUUGGAUGUUUGGUUACAUGUCUAGUCCUCAGUUUCACCACUUUUCUUCCCAGUGAAUUCCUUAGCCUUGUUGCACACUGAAGAACU